UGCAAGUCGAACGAUGACGACCGUGCUUGCACGGUCUGAUUAGUGGCGAACGGGUGAGUAACACGUGAGUAACCUGCCCCUCACUUCGGGAUAACCUCGGGAAAUCGUGGCUAAUACCGGAUAUGAACUUCUACCGCAUGGUGGUUGUUGGAAAGUUUUUCGGUGAGGGAUGGACUCGCGGCCUAUCAGUUUGUUGGUGAGGUAAUGGCUCACCAAGGCGAUGACGGGUAGCCGGCCUGAGAGGGCGACCGGCCACACUGGGACUGAGACACGGCCCAGACUCCUACGGGAGGCAGCAGUGGGGAAUAUUGCACAAUGGGCGAAAGCCUGAUGCAGCGACGCCGCGUGAGGGAUGACUGCCUUCGGGUUGUAAACCUCUUUCAGUAGGGAAGAAGCGAAAGUGACGGUACCUGCAGAAGAAGCGCCGGCUAACUACGUGCCAGCAGCCGCGGUAAUACGUAGGGCGCAAGCGUUGUCCGGAAUUAUUGGGCGUAAAGAGCUUGUAGGUGGCUUGUCGCGUCUGCCGUGAAAACCCGAGGCUCAACCUCGGGCGUGCGGUGGGUACGGGCAGGCUAGAGUGUGGUAGGGGAGACUGGAACUCCUGGUGUAGCGGUGAAAUGCGCAGAUAUCAGGAAGAACACCGAUGGCGAAGGCAGGUCUCUGGGCCAUUACUGACACUGAGAAGCGAAAGCAUGGGUAGCGAACAGGAUUAGAUACCCUGGUAGUCCAUGCCGUAAACGUUGGGCACUAGGUGUGGGGGACAUUCCACGUUUUCCGCGCCGUAGCUAACGCAUUAAGUGCCCCGCCUGGGGAGUACGGCCGCAAGGCUAAAACUCAAAGGAAUUGACGGGGGCCCGCACAAGCGGCGGAGCAUGCUGAUUAAUUCGAUGCAACGCGAAGAACCUUACCAAGGCUUGACAUGGACCGGACGGCUGCAGAAAUGUGGCUUUCUUCGGACUGGUUC
rnacentral:rRNA from 1 species